rnacentral:rRNA from 1 species
AUAACGACUCUCGGCAACGGAUAUCUCGGCUCUCGCAUCGAUGAAGAACGUAGCGAAAUGCGAUACUUGGUGUGAAUUGCAGAAUCCCGUGAACCAUCGAGUCUUUGAACGCAAGUUGCGCCCAAAGCCAUCAGGCCGAGGGCACGUCUGCCUGGGUGUCACGC